rnacentral:lncRNA from 1 species
UGGGAGCCAGGAGCCAGCAGGAAGAAGGGUGAGCAGAGGUGCCAGAUGAUGAGGAAAGAGGGUCUUCCCCAUGGAGGGAAGGCUCUGAGUGGCCCAGAAGGACCACUCCCAUCGUGUGUAUGGAGUUUAGGGUGGGGACUUGGAGCUGCUGCAGGAGUCCAGACAAAUGUGAAAAAGACCCAGGCAACAGCAAUGGUGAGAGCGGUGCAGGCCGG